CUAAUUUCAGCAACAUAUAUACUAAAAUUGGAAAUAUACAGAGAAGAUCAGCAUGGUCCCUGAACAGGAAUGAUGCACAGAUUCGUAGAGUGCUUCAUAUUUUU
rnacentral:snRNA from 1 species